rnacentral:rRNA from 1 species
GCGGGAAGAGCUCAAAUUUAAAAUCUGGCAGGCUACGCUUGUCCGAAUUGUAAUCUCGAGAAGUGUUUUCCGCGUUGGCCUGUGUACAAGUCCCUUGGAACAGGGCGUCAUAGAGGGUGAGAAUCCCGUCCUUGACACAGACACCCAAUGCUUUGUGAUACACUCUCAAUGAGUCGAGUUGUUUGGGAAUGCAGCUCAAAAUGGGUGGUAAAUUCCAUCUAAAGCUAAAUACUGGCGAGAGACCGAUAGCGAACAAGUACCGUGAGGGAAAGAUGAAAAGCACUUUGGAAAGAGAGUCAAACAGUACGUGAAAUUGUUGAAAGGGAAACGAUUGAAGUCAGUCGUGCCUGCCUAGUCUCAGCCUUUUGGUGUACUACUAGGUCGGCAGGUCAGCAUCAGUUUGGGAGGAUUAACAAGGGAGUUAGGAAUGUGGCAACCUCGGUUGUGUUAUAGCCUAGCUUCGCAUUGAUCUUGCUGGACUGAGGAACGCAGUGCGCCCGCAAGGGUUGGUCUUCGGACACAUUCGCACUUAGGAUGCUGGCAUAAUGGCUUUAAACGACCCGUCUUGAAACACGGACC